CCUCACUCUCUUAAAAAAAAAAGAAUUAAAAAAAAAAGACUCUCAAAAAACUGAAUAUUUUACAGCCCCACUGUAGUCAUAACCUUGCAGCUGCAUUGACAGAUUUCCUAAAGAAGGGAGGGGAAUGAAGGAGGGAACUUGAUUUUCUGAGCCCUUAAAUGUGCCAGAAGUGCUCCUAGCAGAACUACAUAAGGGCUUUUGCUUCUUCUCAUUUUAUGUCUGAGAACUCCCAUUCUUCCUUCAGAUCUCAUCUUAAGUGUUAGUUCUCAUGUGGAACAUUGCCACACAAGGCCAAAUUUCCCCAACACAUAUUCUCAGAGCACCAUGAACCUCUCAAAACAACAUGUAUCAUAUUUGCAACUUGGUAUAUAAAUAAUAAUUAGGUGAUUUUUACCAAUGUUUAUCUCCCCAGUUAACCUACAGGCUGAUGGGGGCUGCCUCAAUCCACCAAUGGUGGUGGGUUUUGCUCAUCAUUACAGCUCAGUAUCUACCACAGUGUUUGCACAUAUCAGGUGAUUAAUAAAUAGUGAACAAAUACAUGGUUAGGAAAUUGGGCUUAGAACAUAUAGAUCUAAAUUUGAAUGUUGGCAUAGUACACAGAGUGAUGACACCAAAAGAUGUGAGGUCCAAAUCUCUGGAACCUGUAGUAUUACCUAACCUGUAAUAGUAUUAUUGAGAUGGUGAUGUUAUCAUGAAUUAGCUGGGAAGCCACGUGUCCUUAUAAAACAGGUAGAAACAUAAAAGGAGGAAGUCAAUACGACCAAAAAAACAGAAAUUGGAGUGAUGUGACUAUAAGCCAUGAAUGCUAGCUGGCCUCAGAAGAUGGAAGACAAAGAACAGAGCAGAUUUUUGCACUGUGGAAUCGAUUUCAGAUUUCCAAUCUUCUGAACUGUGAGAGAAUGAAGCAUGCACUAACAAGAAGCAGGACCAGUAUGUGCGAAGUUUUCCCUGAUUGCAUGAACAUAGACCAUAUGAAGAAAAUCCUUGCCACAAGAAAGAAAGAGGGGGAAGAAAACUGCCUCUGACCCAGUAGAUGAUGGAAAGAAGGAAGAGAUGAUAGCAGUGGAAGCAAGUAUUAAGAAUCCAAUAAUUGGACUGUCUGUUCUACUAUAGUUUGAAUUUUGGAUAUCCCACAAGAGCUCUUGUAUUAAAGGCUUGGUCCCCAGCCUGAGGGGUCAUGGGAGGGAAUACAACCUUUAGGAGGUGGAGCCUCAUGAAAGGAAGUUAGGCCAUAAGGCAUAUGCCCUCAAAGAGGAUACUGAGAUCCUGGUUUUUUCCUUUUCCUCUUGCUCUUUUGUAUCUGGCCUUCAGGUGAACAGGUUGCUUCACUAUGUGCUCCCUGCCAUAACGGGCUGCCUCCCUACAGGACCCACAGUGGUGGGACCACCCAAAUAUGGACUGAAACUUUUGAAACCAUGAGCUAAAAUAAAUCUUUCCUCCUCAUAACUUGAUUUAUCCCAGUUAUUUGUUACACUAGCAGAAAAUUGAGUAACACAUCCCAUCCUGAUGAUGCUGUUUAUACUUUUAUAAUACUUAUUUCUCUAUGUUGUGAAGAAUAAAGUAGAGUUUUAAUGGCU